AUAAGCCAAUUCGGACACCUCUCUUAACCCGCCCACACCCGCAUUCCCCGACCCGACCCGAGUCAUCUCUAACACGCCCAACCCAAUUGAAGUCCAUUUCAAAAAAAUUCAACAUCCUUAAACCCUCUCUCAAAACCCCUGGAAAAAACCCUUUUGGUCACUGAAUUGCAACAUAGUGGGCAACCAACGAUUUGGCAGAAAACGAGGUAUGAAGAGAAGCCUUCAGCGAAGUGUCAGAAUGUGAAGAAAAAUAGUCGUUGUAGUAGAGAAGAAAAGCUCAAUAGAAACCCCUCUCCAAGUGCCUCUGAUGAUUCAGGAGAAGAAAACUCAGAGAUAGCUUCGGAGGAAGAAGUGGAAGCACAAAAUGAGGAAGAAGAUGUUAUGGCUUAUAAGGAGCCAAUAAUGUAUGAUAGUUUGUUGGAGUCGUUGAGGACAAAACGAGGAGAAUAUAACACAGACUCAGAAGAAAGUGGAGACGAUGUUGAGGAAGCUCAUGGUGCCUCUGAUGAUGGCAAUGAAGGUAAUAUUUCAGUUGAAGUUGAAAAAGAGAGUAUUUGACGUUGAAACUGAAAAAAAAGUGCUUGGAAGUUGAAGUUAUGUUUGGCCAUGGAUGUCACUUCGCCUUCAAAUCAGCAAAUUGGUAUUUUCAGUAUUCCAUUUGAAGUUCAAAUACUAUAUGCGUGAGUAUUUGCAAAUAAUGAAAUGGUAUAUAUUACCUAACGGGCCCUAAACUGCAUGGUGGAGUAACAGAGUUCUCUUUUCUUCUUUUAUGUUUUUGUCUUAAACAAUUUGGUUAAUUAUUUAGCUAGUGAUCAAAAAAGGGACAAAUUUUAAGAUUCAUGAACUUCCUUAUCAAAAAAUGAUACUUGGCUGCACUUGUAAAAUUAAGCAGUAGAGAAUGAAUCAUUAUUUUAUUUCCAAAGAGAUUCCUACUAGUGCUUUAAAUAUUACUCACAGAUAUAGCUAAAAACUGUUAAUUUUGCUCCCGAAAAUCUCAUGUUUCUAUUCUAUGGCCGCAAGGUCAUAGGAGUAUUAGUAUGGGAAGUAAU